UACGAAGGGGGCUAGCGUUGCUCGGAAUCACUGGGCGUAAAGGGCGCGUAGGCGGCGUUUUAAGUCGGGGGUGAAAGCCUGUGGCUCAACCACAGAAUGGCCUUCGAUACUGGGACGCUUGAGUAUGGUAGAGGUUGGUGGAACUGCGAGUGUAGAGGUGAAAUUCGUAGAUAUUCGCAAGAACACCGGUGGCGAAGGCGGCCAACUGGACCAUUACUGACGCUGAGGCACGAAAGCGUGGGGAGCAAACAGG
rnacentral:rRNA from 1 species